AAUCGUAUCAGUGACUCUAGUGAUUCAUGAUUGACGUCGCAUUUUCCCGUGUAGGCAUAAUCUAGGAGUUUACUGAAGAUAUUCGCUGAUGUGUUCAUGCAGGCAAUUCGAGUUUCGGGUUGGUUACGAUUUAUUGAGUAUAAUUUUCAACGCACUUUGAAGUAGGGACUAAUGGCGGCUAGUAUCACUCGAUGCACUUUGAAUUCAGUCCCAUCUGCACACCGUACGGCACCAUCGCAGAGUUGAUUAUUGUGUCGAAAUUCAGACCAAAUCGGCGGAAACUCGAUGGGACUGACAUGGCGUGGCGCGCAGAAACACUUCUGAUUCACUUUGCACGACACAAUCUUUUUUCGCUUUGCUUUGAUUACCAACACAUUCGUUUGUGUUGUGAUCUUACUCGUUUUCGAGCGUACACCCAUUGAUUUUCUAAGUUUCAGUCCAUAUGAUUGAUGUUCAUGCAUGUUACGAAUUCAAACACUUUUAAAAUCUUAACGUCUUGUACUAUUUUAUCACUAAAUUACUAAUUCGAUUCACAGCCACUCACUUUAUUGCGAUAUGGAUAUUUCACUGUUAUUUGUUUGAUGUGUUUUGGAUAUGGUUUCUUUAAAAUGUGGUAUUUGGUCUGAGGUAUUCUAAUAUAGUUUAAAACAGGAGUGGUCCUGAAUUGACACUUAAAAUCAAACUGAUAUAUGCUGCUAGGGGUGCGACACGUGUCAGAAACUAUCAAGGAUUUAUUGAUUUAGAAAGCAUUAGAAAAUUAAGUACAACUUUAGGCGCAAAAUAUAUAUGAGCAUAUAAAUUAAUUGCUAUUCUUCAUUAAUGUUACAUUGCGUUGGCUACAUUUCAGUACGUUCAGUUUGACUCAUUUGAUACCCGGAUGUGCGUGUGGAUAACGCACGAGCCAUGUUAGGUUUACCAAUACUGAUGUAAUAUCGUUGUAGUAAUUUGAUCCACACUGUUCGUUUGCAAACAAAUAUGAUGAAAAUAAAAAUCCCAUAAAUUGUAUUACAAAAA